AGCGGAAAAAUCUGGUGGGAGCCGGAUCGCGAAUAUUCCAGCGAGCGCUAUUACUGAGGAUAUGCCAACCGAAAUAUCAUUCGUGUCAACCACGCCGCUCAUCAGCCCAAAAUCUCUUGGACUGAACAGUGCUGANNNNUGGGUAUCGGGCUUCAGAACAUUCUCAUAGAGAAUGUUGCGAGGCCUUAGAAGUAAAGAAG
rnacentral:misc_RNA from 1 species